rnacentral:lncRNA from 12 species
GCCAUAGGAUUCUUUAUGGAAUAUGUGCAAAUAAAUGAGAUGGGACUUCAGAGAUAAAAGAGCAGAAAAUGUCUGAAGAGAUGAAUGUGGAAGAUGAGGAGAAGGAAACUGAAGAGGCUACAUUGCACUGAAACUGAAACUGAAAGAGGAGCCUUGGGCAGACCCAGUUCCAAUGAAGCAAAAGUGCUGAUUUCUGGGAAAAAAAGGGUGUUGAAGAGUUUACUCUGCCUGAGGGGUGAGAUGAUGGAUCAAGAG